rnacentral:rRNA from 1 species
GAUCAUGGCUCAGGAUGAACGCUGGCGGCGCGCCUAACACAUGCAAGUCGAACGGACGAUGAAGAGCUUGCUUUUCAAAGUUAGUGGCGGACGGGUGAGUAACGCGUGGGUAACCUGCCUCAUACCGGGGGAUAACAGCCGGAAACGGCUGCUAAUACCGCAUAAGCGCACAGUACCGCAUGGUACGGUGUGAAAAACUCCGGUGGUAUGGGAUGGACCCGCGUCUGAUUAGCCAGUUGGCGGGGUAACGG